GACGAACGCUGGCGGCGCGCUUAACACAUGCAAGUCGAGCGAGAACCAGGGCUUUGGCCCUGGGGAAAGCGGCGAACGGGUGAGUAACACGUGAGUAACCUGUCCUCGGCACCGGGAUAGCCCGGGGAAACCCGGAUUAAUACCGGAUGGCCUUUCGAGUCUUCGGGCUCGUCAGAAAAGGUAGCUUCGGCCUCCGGCCGAGGAGGGACUCGCGGCGGAUUAGCUUGUUGGUGAGGUAACGGCUCACCAAGGCGACGAUCCGUAGCUGGUCUGAGAGGACGAUCAGCCACACUGGGACUGAGACACGGCCCAGACUCCUACGGGAGGCAGCAGGUGGGGAAUUGUUCGCAAUGGGCGCAAGCCUGACGACGCAACGCCGCGUGUGUGAAGAA
rnacentral:rRNA from 1 species